ensembl:antisense C230034O21Rik uncharacterized LOC110291364
ACGAAGGGAUGCGCUCCCGGUCCAGGGCGCUGGCCACCUUGAUGAGGCUCAGGUUGGGCACCUUGCUCCUCUGCACCUCAAAGUGACGCUGCUCAUUGCCCCCGAGAAUCUGCACUGAAAUGUUUCCGUUGGCUGCUGGGGAGUCAGCGUCAGUCACGGUGAGCAGAGCCACCACUGUACCCACCUGCGCGUUCUCAUCCACCGAAGCGUAGCGCGAGGUGGCAGGGAAGUAGCGAAACUUCACUACCGGGUCGUUGUCGUUGACAUCUAGCAACUGGAUAAGCGCUUCUGCGCGCCCGGUGAGAGAGGGCACGCCCCGGUCCGUGGCCUGAACUGUCAGCGAAUACUGUCGCCGGGCCUCGAAAUCUAGCGGCUCUCUCACGGUGAUGAGCCCCGUCUCUGGGUCCAUCUGGAAGGGGGUUCCCUCAUCUUGCAUCCGGUAACGGAUGUCUGCAUUGGUGCCCUCGUCUGCGUCCGCCGCCGCCACCUGCAGGACACUGGAGCCCACAACUGCGUCUUCAGGCACCCCCGCCUGGAGCUGGUACUGAGGUGUGACCUCGCGGUCCAGCCCGCCCUUGGACACCAGGUGCAGGAACGCUCCCUCGCCACUGGGGUUCAAGGUGAUGUCCAGGCGAAAGCGGCCCGCCUCGUUACCGCUGACUAUGCGGUAGGAGCGGUGGUCCACACCGUUGGAGCCGAUGUCAGAGUCCGUGGCGGUGUCCAGAAUGACCUGACGCCCGCUACCACUGUCCUCCUUGAAGGUGACCACGAUCGAAGGGUCUGGGAAGACUGGGGCGUUGUCGUUGAGGUCACGCACCAGCACUCGCACCUCGGUAGGGUAUGUGGGGGAGCUGGAAAGGACCACCAGGUUGACCACAUCGCUGGGCAGGCUCUCGCGGUCGAUGGUAGCGGUGGUGUACAGCGCUCCAGUGCUACUGUUAAUCGCGAACAGGGCGUGGCUUUCACUGAGCCGAUAGGUAAAGCCAGGACGCGUUGGGAUGGUGCCCACCAGAGUCCCUGGGGGCUGCUCUUCCAUCACCUGGAACACCUGGCGCUGUUCGGCCGCUUGGACUCGGGCCGAGCCGGGGAGCAGUGACAGCAGCCCCCAGACUCUCAGGAGCUGGCACAGAGAUGGAGAAGGUAGCGGGAGCCGCCUGCGGCCAGGAGCCGGGUUUGCGGCCAAGUUCAUGGUCCUAGUUUCCAGGAACCUGGAGAAGAGAAACAAGGUGAAGGAAACGGGAUGGUCUGAAAGACUUCUGAGUGGCGCCAGUAAAAAGCCAGUUUGGCCAGAGACCUCUGCAGUUCAGAAGAGUGGGUGAGGGACAGGCGCUCUGGAGAAGGCUCUAGGUGGCCGGUGAGUCGCGCAUCGCAGAAGAGAGUGAGGCGACAGGCGACGGAGCAUCCCUGGGCUCUCCGCUGAAAGUUUCCAGGCCUCCAGACUCUUAGAUUGAAAUCCCAAGUCUGAGCGUCCUGACCGCGGACCGGAGUUGCGAGAGGCGGCCUGGAUUUCGAGGAUCUGAGGAGCCUCUUACUGCACUCACGUCUCUCCAAAAACUUUAGAACUUACCCCGGAACGGGACGCCAAAAAGCGCAGGGCCAAGGGCCACAGAGCCCCUGCACCCUGGAGACAGAGCCGGGAGAGCCCUAAGCUAGCUGUGAAGACUCUUCUCUGGUUUCGUUCGGGCGAGCCUGGAAGGUGGUCUGUGGGUCGGGCUCCCUCCCCCUGCAGCGGAGGCAGCCAGGGCUCCGCGUCCCCACUCCCGCAGCUCUCAGCUCAGUGCCUCUGCGGGCAGCCCGGGCUGCCUUUGCUCUCGCCGCGGGUCGAAGCCCGAGGUCCAGCCCAGGCUGCCGCAGGCGCUGCUCCGCAUCCUUCACCUCCGCGCCGGCAUCAUUUAUUUCCUUUAUGAAUGCAGUUUUUCCAUGGCUGAAGAUUGCCAACUUGGCAGGAUCCGAGUCCCCAGUGAGACACAUCUCCGAGCAUGUCUGUGAGGGAUUUCGGGACCAGUUUGCCUGAAGUGGGAAAACCCACCCUAAGUAUGGUGGACGCUAUUCCAUCAGCUGGGGCUCUGCACUGAAGAGGAAGGAGAAUGCCAGCUGAGGAGUUGAGCUCCAGACUUCACUGUUCUCUGUUGUCCUACUGCAGGCAUGGCAAAACUACUGUCUCCUACUCCUGCCACCAUGACGACCUGGGUUCUCAGACUGGGAGCCAGUUUAAAGUCUUCCUUAAACAGCUUCAUCCGGGUAUUUUGGCACAGCAACAAGACAGGUAAAUGAGGAUCAGCUGGCCAUAUGGGACCAUUAGAUACAUGGGCAAAACAUUAUUGUAACUUUUAUCAACAGAAGAGUUGACAACAGGAAGAACCCAGUCAGAGAGUCCAUCCAAGAGGGCAGGGAACCCUUGCCCACAGCUCACAGCUGACAUCUGAUUUUAAAUUAAGAUGAUCAAAUGUGAGCUGCUGCAAGAUGACCCACCUCAUGUUUUCUCUGAACUAAGCAUCUCUGGGUGUGAUAAUUAUUCACCAUAAGUGUUCCCCCACUGAGUGGUAACGAAUUAUAUGAACGGACUAGAAACAAUAACUUGUACCUUUUACGUUCAUUAAAAAUUCUUCUAAGCUCAUUUGUUGCUGCAGAAGAUGCUGAGGCAAAAGAUGCUGAAGAUGUUCGUGUUCCCAAGAGUGGUGUUUGAAUGUCACUUUGUAUGUGGGUAUUUAAAAUAGAUCCAUCGGGACAUAGUAGAGAACAAACAAACAAACAGCUUCUGGAUUGGUUUGGUUAAAUCAAUUUUUUUUCUUUUAAAGAAUGCAUAUAUCAAAAUCACUCAAUUAUUUAGAAAGG